GGGAGGCUCAGCGGUGGAGCUGUUGCCUUGGGCCCAGGCCAUGACCCCGGGGUCCUGGGAUUGAGUCCUGCGUUGAGCUCCCUGUGGGGAGCCUGCUUCUCCCCCUGCCUAUGUCUCUGUCUCUCUCUGUGUCUCUCAUGAAUAAAUAAAUACAAUCUUAAAAAAAAAAGCAGCAGAUCCAACAAAUGUUUGUUGUGGAUAAUUCAUUCAUUGCAGAGAUAUUUCUGGAGCCCUCGCCGCGGGCUGGACCCUGCCCUGGGCCCCGGUUGGAGGGGACGGUGACGCUGAGUCACGAGCCCGGUCGUAGCACAGGGGUCAUGUAACCUCUAUUCUUGGGAUACUCAAGACUACUGCUUCCAGGUACCAGCCCUGGGAAUGGUUAAACAGGACUCUCAGUGGACUCCAGCCCAGCGAUGUCUAAGCAAUCUUCAAACUGAAAGCAUCUAAAGACUCCUUUUAUCGUCACUUUCAGAAAACAGUCCUUUUGUAGGAGAGUUUCUGGUCUUAGCUGGUGGGGAUGUGGGGCGGGUGCGCAUCUAGGUCAUGGUUCAGAGGAAGAGCGCCACCUACUGAUGACCUGCUCCACCUUCAACACCACCUGCCUGGCCUUAGACCUUCUUCCCCUUGAUGUUCAAAGGGUGCGGAGGGGCCUUCUGAGCAGAACAGUGGAAUUUUGGUCUUGACUUCCAACUCUAGUAUUUGCAGUAAGAAUGAGACCAACAAAAUCUUCGCACACUGCAUAUAAAGCAGGUGGGAAAAGAUUCUUUCCAAAAUACAGAUUGUGUUUUUCUGGCAAGCCUCUCCACUGAAUGUUACUUUAUUUAGGAGAAUAAUCCUAUAGCAUAUUUAAUGCCAUUCUAGCAAAGCAUUAGCAAGAUUAUGUUCAGUAAUGAGGGGGUACCUUCGCUUCCAUUUUCAUGUGUUCCUGAGAAAUUCCAAUGCACAGCAUAAGGCAAGAAAGAUCAAUGUCAAAUAGUUCUUGAUUUGAUUAGGAAGCUGGUAGCUACAAGUAACAGAGCCAUGGCAACUUGACGAAGUGAAUAGUUCAUAUGGUAUGAUUCCAUCUGUGGAAUAGAUGUUCUAGAAGCUCC
rnacentral:lncRNA from 1 species